UGGGGAAUAUUGGACAAUGGGCGGAAGCCUGUUCCAGCCAUGCCGCGUGUGUGAAGAAGGCCUUUUGGUUGUAAAGCACUUUAAGCGAGGAGGAGGCUACUUGGAUUAAUACUCUAGGAUAGUGGACGUUACUCGCAGAAUAAGCACCGGCUAACUCUGUGCCAGCAGCCGCGGUAAUACAGAGGGUGCGAGCGUUAAUCGGAUUUACUGGGCGUAAAGCGUGCGUAGGCGGCUUCUUAAGUCGGAUGUGAAAUCCCUGAGCUUAACUUAGGAAUUGCAUUCGAUACUGGGAAGCUAGAGUAUGGGAGAGGAUGGUAGAAUUCCAGGUGUAGCGGUGAAAUGCGUAGAGAUCUGGAGGAAUACCGAUGGCGAAGGCAGCCAUCUGGCCUAAUACUGACGCUGAGGUACGAAAGCAUGGGGAGCAAACAGG
rnacentral:rRNA from 1 species